AGAGAUUGUGGUCCUCUUGAGCUGUUCUUCAAAGGGGAAACAGUUUUUGUUCUUCCAGUGGUGGUGAAUGCUUUGCUUCUUUAGAGGAAUAUAAAUGGUGAAAUAAAUCACCAUUUUCUAGUUUGUCAGCCGUGUCCCAAUGGGUUCCAACCCUUUUGCCUAGAAACUGACUUUCCUCCACUUUGCUCCUGAGGGAUGCUUUGACAUGGUCUGCCACAUUCUUCAGGUCUUAUUUGUCACUACUUCACAAGAGUGCUGAGUGGUGGUGGUGCUGAAUUCCCAGUGUUUAUUUGGGUACUGGAGAAGAAAAUUGCAAAUGGAGUCCAAAAGGACUUUAACUUCUCUUUAUGGGGCAAAAUACUGCAUUAAUAUCCCAUUUUGAUGAGCAAAUUUGACUUUCAAGUCUGGUAAACUCAGUUCCAGAAGUGUCAUACAGAAAUAUUUAUUAGCAGUAUCUUACAUUAUUUUAAUUUAUUACAAAAAAAAGAUGUCAAAAUAGAGCUGUUACAUCUGAAUAUCCUUGAUCCAGGUGCCUGAGACUUAAGAGCAAUGAGGAGGGAGAGACAGGGAAAGACAGACAUGGUUUCAAAGGAUUGUCUUUUUUUUUUACGAAACAGUUUGAGGUAAGAAGAUUUGCAGUACACAGAUGUACACUGCAGAUCCCAUAGUGCCAUAGCAUGGCAGCUCAGCUAUUAGCAUCAGUCUAGCUGUGGCACCAGAGAGCGCAGAAAAUAUUGUCCUGCCCAAGAUCUAUGGCAUACUGUACUGACUGGGGCCCUAUGAAGGGCAGUUAUAUUGAGUCUUUCUGUGCUCAUUCUAGAAAGGUACUGCACUGCAGGCAAUCUUUGUUAGGUAACCCCAUUUGGAGGAGGGCAGGGAGUCCUGACCUAAGAGACUCACUUUCCUGAAGGUAGCUUAGAUGAGCUGAGUGCAUACAGAUCUUUCUGGAGUUUAUCUUCAUCUGUUAAACAGUAGAGAUAAACUGCUCCCUCUAGCAUGCUUAUGUUACAUCUUUAUGUGUAAACGUAUGAUUCCACUGCAUGAAAUCAAAUGCAGUGCGUAUACUACAAAAUAUUUUUUGUUUCUAAUAAUUUGAUUUUUAAGUGAUGUAACUUGACUCCUUCAUAGUGCCUUUCUUAGCUAUUUUCAUCAGCAUUCAGACUAAUAAGGAAUGUUCCCUAACACUCUCCAGCCCCACAAAAGUCUAGAAAAUCUUUUGUACCCUUUUUUUUUUUUUUUUUUUGCUGAGAAUAUGCUUUCCCUCUAUUAAGCUAAGAUUAAUCACAAGUUUUCACAAUUUAAUCUCAGGUAAUAGGCAAUAGGAUGACACUUUUUUUAAAAAAUAUAUUUCACAAGAUUGAGUGGUAAUUAUAGAAAUUCUGCAGGUAAGCCUUUGAGAUGUUAUGUGUUUGUUCAAAUGCAACUCCAAAGUAGAGGAGGUGCAAUUCAGGUUAACAAAUUCUGCGGUACAUAUUUUGUUACGCUAACUGUGGCUGUGCUCAGCUGACAAACUGAGGCUCUUAGUAGUGAAAAACGAAUCUUUUUUUAUAUACAAGUUCUAUUGGAUUAGCUAGCACUAAAGUCUGUCUGUCCCAGCACCAACAAUAUAUGUAAGAUUUUAUUCAUUUGCUUCAUGGAUCAUAAAAUUGAGGCAUUAAAAAUGGCACUGCAACAACAGUUAUCAUGAAUAGCUGCAGUUCAGAUUGUCUUUGGAAGAAAAAUCUGAGAUAACCAGUGGAUUUACCAGUGGAAAUACUGCAAAAUCAUAGAAUGAUUGGGGUUGGAAGGGACCCUUAAGAUCAUAUUGUUCCACUCCCCCCCCUCCCACUAUGGGCAGGGACACUUCCUUCUAGACCAGGUUGCCCAAAGCCAUGACUUGAGUGCUUCCAGGGAAGGGACAUUAUCAACCUCACUCAGCAACCUGUUCCAGUGUCUCACCAUCAUGUGAAAUUGUGGGAAAAUUUAUUUUAAACCGUGUAAAAAUUGUUUGGAAGUUAAACUUUUGCUGUAACAUUGAACUUAACAUCUUAAGAAUUUAGAAGAAUAGCAGUGAGUUAUUGAAGAAAUCUUUUUUUUUUCAUCCCCACACUUUGCUUUCUUCUUUAAAAGAUAUUCUUUAAUGACAAAAUGCUGAUGUCUAGUUCUAGCUACUGGGAAAAACUGCCCAGUGCAUGAACUGUGGUGAUAUUUUGCUGUACCUUCUUCCCCAGCCAAUAUUUCAGAAGGAAAUAUGGACUUUCUGGCUUAAAGGCUUACUUAACAGUCCUGUAUUUCCUGCUUAUGUAAGUACUAGUUAAGAUGCUUGCUGUGAUAAACCGCUGUGCUUCCGAAGGCAUUAGAUGUUCUUCUGAAAUGAUACUGUGUGACACUGUUUCAUGGAAUAUUUCUAAACAAUAAAAGCAAUAUAAUUUUGAUGGUCUCUUCUUGGAUAUCAGACUACU
ensembl:lncRNA